rnacentral:tRNA from 1 species
GGAAGUGUGGCUGAGUCCGGUUUAAGGCGCAUCACUGCUAAUGAUGUGAGUGAAUUAAGUAGCUCCGCAGGUUCGAAUCCUGUCACUUCCG